GAUUGGAAUAUUACAGGCGGAUGUCUUGAGUGGUUUGGAGGAAAUAGCACAGAUUCAGUGACAGGAAAUAUUGCAGGAAAAUCGACGAUUGCAACUCCCUUUGAUUGUCGGGU
rnacentral:ribozyme from 1 species